GCCUUCGUAGCUCAAUCUGUAGAGCCUGAGACUCUUAAUCUAAGGGUCGUGGGUUCAAACCCCAUUGUGGGCA